ACAACUUUCAACAAUGGAUCUCUUGGCUCUCGCAUCGAUGAAGAACGCAGCGAAAUGUGAUAAGUAAUGUGAAUUGCAGAAUCCAGUGAAUCAUCGAAUCUUUGAACGCAUCUUGCGCUCCUUGGCAUUCUGAGGAGCAUGCCUGUUUGAGUGUCAUUAAA
rnacentral:rRNA from 6 species